GUGCUCCCUUCUACAGCACAUAUACUAAAAUUGGAAUGAUACAGAGAAGAUUAGCAUAAUCCCUGCGAAGUAUGACAUGCAAAUUCAUGAAGCAUUCCAUAUUAUU